rnacentral:rRNA from 1 species
UACGGAGGGGGCUAGCGUUGUUCGGAAUUACUGGGCGUAAAGCGCACGUAGGCGGAUCAGUCAGUUAGAGGUGAAAGCCCAGGGCUCAACCCUGGAACUGCCUUUAAUACUGCUGGUCUGGAGUCCGAGAGAGGUGAGUGGAAUUCCGAGUGUAGAGGUGAAAUUCGUAGAUAUUCGGAGGAACACCAGUGGCGAAGGCGGCUCACUGGCUCGGGUACUGACGCUGAGGUGCGAAAGCGUUGGGGAGCAAACAGG